rnacentral:lncRNA from 1 species
UCUAAUCAGAACUAAAUACGAGACGACAACUCGUAUUUACUUCAACCCUACUCAGGAAAACUCGAAACAAAAACAUUUAUCAUAUAAAUAAACCGCGUAAAGCGGCAAGGGAUUCAAAGCCACCAACGGCCAGUCCCGGUAAAUACAAAUACGGCCAUCUAGGCCUAAACGAAAUCCAAAUUCAAAGGGCCACACUCGGC